UUACAUUUCUUUCUCUGCAUAAGAAAAAUAAAACAUUUUACCAUUCGAGGGUUGCAGCAAUAAAUGACCCAAAGAAACCCUCUGGGAAUAUUUAAAUGGAAAACAGCCACUCAAUCAGGCACAAACAUUUCAGUCCCACCAUCAGAUUGUGGGCACACAUGGAUAUAAUCAAACCUAUCAGAGCAACCAGUUUGUACCGAGCAGCCCAGUGACUCUUGCUGAAUAUCCAUGAUCGGGAAAAUGUCUUUUUCCCAGGAAUUUCCCAGUUGUUAGAUGGGUAUUUAAAAGGUGUGCUCUGCUCCCUGGCUCACGGGAAGCUGUGUGCUGCCUGCUGCAAUGACUGGACAAACUGGUAAACUCCUCUGACAGCAGUGGUUGUGCCUAUGCAUUUAGAAACCCAUUUUCUCAGGUUUUUCACCCAGUUGUGUCAUUUGUUUUCUGAGUGAAACCCACUGUUGCACGCAAAGCCUGUUCUGAAGCAGCUGGGGGUGAAUUUGAAUAUCAGAGGGAGCAGAUAAGGAACUCUGGCACCCACAAAAGUUGGCAAAUGCAGAGUGAUCACAGAUCAUAUUAUCCAGAAAGAUGGAUUUAAAUAUUCUAAGCAGUUACAGCUUGGCAUUCACUUCACAGAAAUUAAUAACAGUUUCUGCUCACUGACAGAUGUAAGGACAGUGUCUUUUUAUCCAGCUGGUUCAGUGAAACAGCAGAUGACUUCAUGUACAGAGAGGCUCACCCAAACCAUCAGGGAUCCAGGAAUUCCACGAGCUGUUGUGUCAGAGACAAAUGUGUGUCUGUGUAGAAGGAACUGAGGGAUUCAGGGAAUUCCAGAGCCCAGAGCCUGGGCAGAUGUCUCAGGAGCUGGGGGUACAGGAUCCCAAUUCCCCUCCCUAAACAACCAGGAGGCAAGAAACCCCCCCGGUUCAGUGUGACUGCAUCAGCUCCAGGCUGUGAAACUAAAGGUUAAGGUUCCAUUUGUGCCUGGGGCACUGCAGCAGGAAGGGAUUCCCCUUCCAAACAUCCACCCUCGGGGUGCUGGGCACCCUCUCCACUGAAAAACAUUGGAGUUCAGAAAAGGCUUUGGAAAAAAAGGACUCCUAGUGAAGGAAAACACCCACGGGCAUGCAAAUGGGAGCUGAGCUACAGCUGCCACUGGAGCUCCUGCACAGCCAGCCCAGCUCUCAUUUAUUACAGAGCUGGGGGAUAAAGACUCUGACAGAGAAGGCACUGCAGAUACAGAUUUAAAACUCACUUGCUAAAUA